GUCCGUAGCUCAGUUGGUUAGAGCGCACCCCUGAUAAGGGUGAGGUCGGUGGUUCAAAUCCACUCGGACCUACCAG
rnacentral:tRNA from 1 species